UGCCCCGCCGCAAGACCUCGCCCACAACCGCCGCCUUCUUGGCCACAGGCGAGUAACCCUGUGGGAUAGACCUGACGGCUCUCGGCCGUCCUCGCUCGAACUGGUGGUUACGCAGGCUGCGAGUUACCUGUAGAAGGUCAUGGUUUCUUCUUAUGGGAAAACAUCGUUUUCACUGAUACUUUUCUCCAUUUUUCCUGUGUUCACCUCCAGGAACAUCCAUUAGGUAUAUAGUGCAUCUUCCUCUCGUGUUUCACAACUUUCCUCUCAAAACAUCACGUUUGGGAAAUCUUGGGCUUGGCCUUCCUGCUGUUUUUGUUUUUGUUUUUUUUGAGACGAAGUCUCCCUCUGUGGCCCAGGCUGGAGUGCAGUGGUGUGCGAUCUCGGCUCACUGCAACCUCCACUCCUGGGUUCAUGCUGUUCUCCUGCCUGAGCCUCCCUAGUAGAUGGGACUGCAGGCGUCUGCCAUCUCGCCCAGCUAAUUUUUUUUUAGUAGAGACAGGGUUUCACCAUAUUGGCCAGGCUGGUCUCUGUAGGGUCAGCCCUACUAGCAUCGUGGGGUGUCCCCUAUCACUGUGCUGAGGCGCAGGAUCCGAGAAAUAAAAAGACAAGACACCGAAGGACUGGAAAAGACAGCUAGGUUGGUGGGAGGGAGUGGGAGGGCACGCCACCUAUGAGCGGAGACAGGCAAGGCCCCGAACCUCCAAGAGCGUCUGUAUUUAUUGGGUAUAGGUUAAGGGGCAGGGUAGUGAGUGAGGACAUCUUAAGAACAGUGUUAAUGUCAAGACAAUCACGUGUGCGAUAAGCAAAGGGUCCUCCCCAUUAGGUCACUGAGGCAAGGAGGUGGGCUGUGCACAGUGAAGAGGUUGCAGUGUGCAUUUUCUCUUAUCUAGGGGCAGGCUACUUCUAAGGAAUUCUACAGGAGGAUGCUUUUGAGUCAGCACAGUAGCUAAAGAGCUGACAGGGUAUACAGCCACCUGCUGGCAGUUUCCAAUGAUUUCUAUAGGAGGAUGCUUUGAGUUAGUACCUAGCAACAGAGCUGACAAGGUGUAUAGCCACCUAGCUGCGGUUAUAUCAGAGGGAUUUUAAGCCCUCAGACACUUACGGGCUUGCUAACCUGAGGCCAGCUUUCCACAAGAACUGGAUGCAAGGUCCUGCAACCCCUUUUCAGGAGGACUGACUCUUGCUCCAAGCCUGCCAUACAGCGAGUAUCUUUACAAUACAGAACGCUGCCGCCUGGGCCGGCCUGCCAUGUAGUACGUGCCUUUUCAGGCAGGGUCACUACCAUCUGGGCCAUAGAUACUUGUCCUGGUAUAACUGUUUUCCCCUUAAAUCGUGCUCUGCACCAUGUCUGUUCUAGACAUUCCUCUGACUAUAAGCAAGCUAUGAUUAUAUAUGUAUAGCUGUUUACCCCUUAAUUCAUGCUCUAUACUGUGUCUGCUCUAGGCAUUCCUCUGACAAUCAACUAAGAUAUAUAUAUAUAUAUAUAUGGAAAUAACCGAGUGAUAAGAUAUUCUUCAGGCACGAAUUAUUCCAACUGUAAAUGAAUAUAUGAUUACAUAUAAAGGAUUAUAUAAAGGAAAUAACUGAGUAAUAACACUAUAAACCAAGAUAUUCUUCAGGCACUAAUUGUGCCAGGGAUCUGCUUAGCUCUUCUUCCUCGGUGCCCAGAUGGGGGGGGUUACCCACAGGUCUCGAACUCCUGACCUCAGGUGAUCCAUCUGCCUCGGCCUCCCAAAUUGCUGGGAUUAUAGGCGUAAGCCACCAUGUCCAGCUGGUGUGAUGGUUUUCAUCUGCAUCCAUUCUCACUCCCCUGUGCUUGUUCAGCUAUUUUCAACAGGACCUUUCGGUUACAGGGAGUAGAUCUGUCCUCCUCAGGUCAGCCUGUUCCUGUGUAUUUCCCUGAUGAUAUUUUGUUACCUUUUAGGCAUCACUCUGUUUACUUAAUUUCCUUGGGUUAGUUUCUCUGUCAGUCCUGUCCGGUGCCUGCCAUUCUUUUCCGGUGUCUGUUUUCUUGUAAUUUUGGGUGGCACUAUUCUUGUUUUUAGUAUUAACCACAGCCUGUCUACUGUCACUGGGAUUUUUUCUCUUCAUUCUCUCCUCAGCUGUCCCCUGGCAGAUCUUUGACAUGUGCGCCCUGGCACCCAGGUUUCCAGAACUGUAAAAACCCUGCCCCUCAGCAGCUCCACUGUCAGUCCCAGGACAUUCAUCUUCCACAUUUCUCCCACCCUGGUGUUGUGAACAAUGUUAGGCUUCCUGACAUUUAGACAUGAAGCUUGUGAAAUGUUGCCAGUCUGAGCUGUGCUUUAAUUUGAAACGUACUUUAAUUUCAAAGACUUUGUACCAAAAUGCAAAAUAUGUCAUCAACAGUUGUAUUAUUUUACCUGCAUGUUGAAAUUAUAUUUUGGAAAUACUGGACCAAAUAAAAUGUGUCAAUAAAAUUAA